rnacentral:rRNA from 1 species
GGGCUCACACAAGCGGUGGAGGAUGUGGCUUAAUUCGAGGCUACGCGAAGAACCUUACCCAGGCUUGACGUGUCUAGGAAUUCCUGUGAAAGCAGGAAGUGCCCUUCGGGGAACCUUAACGCAGGUGCUGCAUGGCUGUCGUCAGCUCGUGUCGUGAGAUGUCGGGUUAAGUCCCUUAACGAGCGAAACCCUUGUCCUUAGUUGCCAGCGAGUAAUGUCGGGGACUCUAAGGAGACUGCCGGUGUUAAACCGGAGGAAGGUGGGGAUGACGUCAAGUCCUCAUGGCUUUAUGCCUGGGGCUGCACACGUCCUACAAUGCGGCGUACAAAGGGCAGCAAGUUCGCGAGGAC